AGAGUUUGAUCAUGGCUCAGAUUGAACGCUGGCGGAAUGCUUUACACAUGCAAGUCGAACGGCAGCACGGACUUCGGUCUGGUGGCGAGUGGCGAACGGGUGAGUAAUACAUCGGAACGUGCCCAAUCGUGGGGGAUAACGUAGCGAAAGCUACGCUAAUACCGCAUACGAUCUACGGAUGAAAGCGGGGGACCGUAAGGCCUCGCGCGAUUGGAGCGGCCGAUGUUAGAUUAGGUAGUUGGUGGGGUAAAGGCUCACCAAGCCGACGAUCUAUAGCUGGUCUGAGAGGAUGAUCAGCCACACUGGGACUGAGACACGGCCCAGACUCCUACGGGAGGCAGCAGUGGGGAAUUUUGGACAAUGGGCGCAAGCCUGAUCCAGCCAUUCCGCGUGCAGGACGAAGGCCUUCGGGUUGUAAACUGCUUUUGUACAGAACGAAAAGCUCUGAGUUAAUACCUCGGGGUCAUGACGGUACUGUAAGAAUAAGCACCGGCUAACUACGUGCCAGCAGCCGCGGUAAU
rnacentral:rRNA from 1 species